GUUCAGACAGCUCAUUGUAAAACAUCUAUAUCUUUUUACCCCGAUACCGGAUUUGGACGAAAUUGGUAUUGUUAGAAAGCUAAUUAAAUUUCCCACAUGAUAGAAGUUGAAAUUGGGGAAAUUCUAUCUGAUUUAAACAUUAAUCAUUUAGGAAAUCAUCACUAACUCUUUUGGAGACUAGAUUAGACUUUAAAAAAUAUUUAGGGUAUUAUAUCCAUAAAGCCAGGAAUUUAGUUUAGCAGCCAGGCAGACAAGUUCGUAUGGUUUCCCAUCUUUCCACCCAGUCUCCCUAUCCGAAGUCUCCCGAAUAUGCCCAUUCCAAGAUGUUGCAUCCUAGUAGUUAUGAGUUUAGCCCAGUUUAUAUGUCGUGCCUCAGUUUUAGACCCCAAAUACUCAGUCAAGAUUCAGUUCGUAGGUACCCCAUGCAUUGUCUCAGCUUUUCCUCAGUAUCUCAUCCAGGUCGACAUUCUCAUCGAGGUCGACAUUUUUCAAGAGACAUAAUGUCCCAAGGAAGAGAUGCACUAUAACCCUUGAGCUUUCAUGUCCUAAACCUUUUAAUUUCUCUUCGCGUAACGAAUCCAAUUUGGUGUAACGGGUACUCAUAAGUUGACUCUUAUUUUAAUCUCAGUCGUAUUAACAUUCCCAUAGCAUGGCAUAUAUAUUCAAGGAAUCAGUUCAGUUCAUGAUAUUCAGUUCAUGUAUCAUGUUUCAGACUCAGUCAUGUCCUCAUGUUCCCGUUCAUACAUGUUCAGUAAGCGAUCUCAGGUUCAUUAGUAUUCUCAGCUUAAGGUGACUGUCUUCGUUAGAUUUACUCAGUUCUAUGAUGUAGUUACAGUUGUAAACAUCGUAUCCAUUAUCAUUGCAUAUUCAGUCAUGCAUUCAUGAAUCAGUUCAGUCAUGUAUUUCAUGUAUCAGAUAUGCAUGGUCAGUAUGUAAAGCCAGCAUAUCAGUAGUUUUAGUCAAGUAGUCAUGCUUUAGUUAUGCAUGUUCAAUGUGUAAACUCAGUCUAUUAGAAUUUCUCAGCUUGAUUAGUCUCAUUCGAGGACGAAUGUUCCCAAUGGGGAGAUAUUGCAAUAUCCCGUAUUUUCCUAGCUUAAUUUAAGUCUUAGUACAUGAUUAAUUCCAUGUAAAAAAUUUUAAAUACUACGUCUUUUUUCAGUUUGAGCCUACCAUAGCGUAGGAAAUUCAAUUAACUUUCCAAUGAUAUAAAAUUCACCCAAAUCCGAUACCCGGGUGAAGAGUUAGAGUCAUUAUAGUGAAACAGUGUACCACCUGGUACUUCAGCGCAUCGCGGAGGCGGUCCAAAUGACAAUUGUCAUUUUCCAGUGAGCCAACAUGAUACCACCACAUCGUGCCUCCAACCAAUUUCCCAAUUUUCACUUUUCUAAUGUUUCUUCGUGGUAAUGGCGCGUCGCGCCAAUGCCCAGUUUCUCAUUCAGUAAGGCACCGUAAUGGCGUCGCGUCGCGCCAUUAGCCCAGUUCUCAGUUGUCCACUUUUCAGUGAACCAGCACGAUCGUGUCGCGUCGCGCCAUUAGCCCAGUUCUUAGUUGUCCACUUUUCAGUGAACCAGCACUAUCGUGUCGCGUCGCGCCAGAGGGUAGUGUCGAAAAUUUUUAAUAGAAAUCCAAAGUUUCGUCCAGUGUUAAAUUAAUCUUUUCCCAUGAUUUUAUUACGUCUAGAUAUGGGAUUAAAGACCUAAAAUCAUUUUAUGUCGUUCAUUAUUCAAUUUUUACCCAAAAUUAAGAGUUUUCUCUCUACAAUACAAAACCCUAACAUCAAGAAACCAAGAGCAAUCUCAAGAAAUCCUCCAAGAACCUUUAAUAACUCUUCUUCUCAGGUAUGUUAGGUGUUCAUUCAUGGGUCUCUUUCACCCAUAAAGUCCAAGAGCCCUUUUUAAACAUACAAGAUCUCAAAUUCAUGAUUUUCAUGUUUGAAUUAGAUUGAAUUCAUGUUCAUGAUAUUAGUUGGGUUUCAAUCCAUGAAUUAAUUGCAAGUUUCAUGAAAAUUGAAUAGCACGUGUGAUGAAUAUGUGAUUAUCUUGAUAAACCCUUGAAUUUACAAAAAUAUGAUACUUCCUGGACUCACGACCAUAAUCGAUAAUCCACAACAUAGGUUUCACAAUUCAUGAUUUUAAUAUAGUAUUCUUGAGAUUUAUGGGUGAAAGAAACCCAUGAAUCAAUACUAAAAAUACCUCAAAAUCUUGGAUCUUGAAAGAUAACUAACGUUUCUUGAACGUUCUUGGAUUGGGAAACACAGAUCUUGAUGUUUUCUUGAUGGUUCUUGAACUUGAAGAACAUGAAUUUCUUAGUUUCUUGAAAAGGGUUUUGAUCUUGUUCUUGGGGAUAAAUCUUUGAGAGGAACCCUAAUUUGGUGUGGUAGGUCAAUAAUAAAGUUAUGAGCUAUGAUCUGGUAUAAUUAAGGGUUAAAACAGAUGGAAAAAGACCCAAAUGCCCAUUUAAAAAAUGGCUUAAAAUUACUGAAUGGGAUCUGCGAUGGCUUGGGCGAUGGUCCAUCGAUGGCUCGAUGGUUCUUCACUCUGUCCGUCGCAGUCUAGCCAGAAAAUAGGUUACUGCCAUAUUAGCGACGGUCAGGGCGACGAUCCGUCGCUGGGUCGACAGUUCAUCGCUCUUUCUAUAAUAGUUUGACUAGAAGGUAGUCUUACUGCCUCAGUUGCGACGGUUUGGGAUACGGUCCGUCGCUAGCUUGACGGUUCUUCGCGCCUUCCGUCGCUCCUAGGAGGUUCAGACAGCUCAUUGUAAAACAUCUAUAUCUUUUUACCCCGAUACCGGAUUUGGACGAAAUUGGUAUUGUUAGAAAGCUAAUUAAAUUUCCCACAUGAUAGAAGUUGAAAUUGGGGAAAUUCUAUCUGAUUUAAACAUUAAUCAUUUAGGAAAUCAUCACUAACUCUUUUGGAGACUAGAUUAGACUUUAAAAAAUAUUUAGGGUAUUAUAUCCAUAAAGCCAGGAAUUUAGUUUAGCAGCCAGGCAGACAAGUUCGUAUGGUUUCCCAUCUUUCCACCCAGUCUCCCUAUCCGAAGUCUCCCGAAUAUGCCCAUUCCAAGAUGUUGCAUCCUAGUAGUUAUGAGUUUAGCCCAGUUUAUAUGUCGUGCCUCAGUUUUAGACCCCAAAUACUCAGUCAAGAUUCAGUUCGUAGGUACCCCAUGCAUUGUCUCAGCUUUUCCUCAGUAUCUCAUCCAGGUCGACAUUCUCAUCGAGGUCGACAUUUUUCAAGAGACAUAAUGUCCCAAGGAAGAGAUGCACUAUAACCCUUGAGCUUUCAUGUCCUAAACCUUUUAAUUUCUCUUCGCGUAACGAAUCCAAUUUGGUGUAACGGGUACUCAUAAGUUGACUCUUAUUUUAAUCUCAGUCGUAUUAACAUUCCCAUAGCAUGGCAUAUAUAUUCAAGGAAUCAGUUCAGUUCAUGAUAUUCAGUUCAUGUAUCAUGUUUCAGACUCAGUCAUGUCCUCAUGUUCCCGUUCAUACAUGUUCAGUAAGCGAUCUCAGGUUCAUUAGUAUUCUCAGCUUAAGGUGACUGUCUUCGUUAGAUUUACUCAGUUCUAUGAUGUAGUUACAGUUGUAAACAUCGUAUCCAUUAUCAUUGCAUAUUCAGUCAUGCAUUCAUGAAUCAGUUCAGUCAUGUAUUUCAUGUAUCAGAUAUGCAUGGUCAGUAUGUAAAGCCAGCAUAUCAGUAGUUUUAGUCAAGUAGUCAUGCUUUAGUUAUGCAUGUUCAAUGUGUAAACUCAGUCUAUUAGAAUUUCUCAGCUUGAUUAGUCUCAUUCGAGGACGAAUGUUCCCAAUGGGGAGAUAUUGCAAUAUCCCGUAUUUUCCUAGCUUAAUUUAAGUCUUAGUACAUGAUUAAUUCCAUGUAAAAAAUUUUAAAUACUACGUCUUUUUUCAGUUUGAGCCUACCAUAGCGUAGGAAAUUCAAUUAACUUUCCAAUGAUAUAAAAUUCACCCAAAUCCGAUACCCGGGUGAAGAGUUAGAGUCAUUAUAGUGAAACAGUGUACCAC
rnacentral:lncRNA from 1 species